rnacentral:rRNA from 1 species
UACGUAGGGUGCGAGCGUUGUCCGGAAUUACUGGGCGUAAAGCGCACGUAGGCGGCUUGUCGCGUCGGAUGUGAAAGCCCGGGGCUUAACUCCGGGUUUGCAUUCGAUACGGGCAGGCUAGAGUUCGGUAGGGGAGAUCGGAAUUCCUGGUGUAGCGGUGAAAUGCGCAGAUAUCAGGAGGAACACCGGUGGCGAAGGCGGAUCUCUGGGCCGAUACUGACGCUGAGGAGCGAAAGCGUGGGGAGCGAACAGG